AACGAACGCUGGCGGCAUGCCUAACACAUGCAAGUCGAACGAUCCCUUCGGGGUUAGUGGCGCACGGGUUCGUAACGCGUUGGAUCCUGCCCUUAUAUCCGGCCUAACUCAGAGAAAUUAGAGCUGAUACCGGAUAAUGUCUCCGGACCAAAGAUUUCUCGCCUUUGGAUGGGCCCGCGUUGGAUUAGCUAGUUGGUGGGGUAAAGGCCUACCAAGGCGACGAUCCAUAGCUGGUCUGAGAGGAUGAUCAGCCACACUGGGACUGCGACACGGCCCAGACUCCUACGGGAGGCAGCAGUGGGGAAUAUUAGACAAUGGGCGAUAGCCUGAUCCAGCAAUGCCGCGUGAGUGAUGAAGGCCUUAGUGUUGUAAAGCUCUUUUACCCGGGAUGAUAAUGACAGUACCGGGAGAAUAAGCCCCGGCUAACUCCGUG
rnacentral:rRNA from 1 species